GACGAACGCUGGCGGCGUGCUUAACACAUGCAAGUCGAACGGAAAGGCCCUGCUUUUGUGGGGUGCUCGAGUGGCGAACGGGUGAGUAACACGUGAGUAACCUGCCCUUGACUUUGGGAUAACUUCAGGAAACUGGGGCUAAUACCGGAUAGGAGCUCCUGCUGCAUGGUGGGGGUUGGAAAGUUUCGGCGGUUGGGGAUGGACUCGCGGCUUAUCAGCUUGUUGGUGGGGUAGUGGCUUACCAAGGCUUUGACGGGUAGCCGGCCUGAGAGGGUGACCGGCCACAUUGGGACUGAGAUACGGCCCAGACUCCUACGGGAGGCAGCAGUGGGGAAUAUUGCACAAUGGGCGGAAGCCUGAUGCAGCAACGCCGCGUGCGGGAUGACGGCCUUCGGGUUGUAAACCGCUUUCGCCUGUGACGAAGCGUGAGUGACGGUAAUGGGUAAAGAAGCACCGGCUAACUACGUGCCAGCAGCCGCGGUGAUACGUAGGGUGCGAGCGUUGUCCGGAUUUAUUGGGCGUAAAGGGCUCGUAGGUGGUUGAUCGCGUCGGAAGUGUAAUCUUGGGGCUUAACCCUGAGCGUGCUUUCGAUACGGGUUGACUUGAGGAAGGUAGGGGGGAAUGGAAUUCCUGGUGGAGCGGUGGAAUGCGCAGAUAUCAGGAGGAACACCAGUGGCGAAGGCGGUUCUCUGGGCCUUUCCUGACGCUGAGGAGCGAAAGCGUGGGGAGCGAACAGGCUUAGAUACCCUGGUAGUCCACGCUGUAAACGGUGGGUACUAGGUGUGGGGUCCAUUCCACGGGUUCCGUGCCGUAGCUAACGCUUUAAGUACCCCGCCUGGGGAGUACGGCCGCAAGGCUAAAACUCAAAGGAAUUGACGGGGCCCCGCACAAGCGGCGGAGCAUGCGGAUUAAUUCGAUGCAACGCGUAGAACCUUACCUGGGUUUGACAUGGAUCGGGAGUGCUCAGAGAUGGGUGUGCCUCUUUUGGGGUCGGUUCACAGGUGGUGCAUGGCUGUCGUCAGCUCGUGUCGUGAGAUGUUGGGUUAAGUCCCGCAACGAGCGCAACCCUUGUUCACUGUUGCCAGCACGUUAUGGUGGGGACUCAGUGGAGACCGCCGGGGUCAACUCGGAGGAAGGUGGGGAUGACGUCAAGUCAUCAUGCCCCUUAUGUCCAGGGCUUCACGCAUGCUACAAUGGCUGGUACAGAGAGUGGCGAGCCUGUGAGGGUGAGCGAAUCUCGGAAAGCCGGUCUCAGUUCGGAUUGGGGUCUGCAACUCGACCUCAUGAAGUCGGAGUCGCUAGUAAUCGCAGAUCAGCAACGCUGCGGAAAUACGUUCCCGGGGCU
rnacentral:rRNA from 1 species